AUUUAACAAUAAUACAUGGCUUAACUUGUGAUGCAUUUAGUAAGUUGAAAAAGUAUAGUUGGGCAAGCAAAAUGUUCAUUCGAGCUGUUUAGAUAGAAAAUACAGAGAAAUAAAGGGAAAAAAAAUCGAUCGAUAAUUUUUAUGUGCUGGCUAUCAUCAUUAAAUGUAAUAAAUUGUUUCAAUGAAAUGCAUAAACCGCAUCUAACUAAUACAGAUUUACGCUGCUCAAAAUUAAAUGUCAUGGAGAUAAUGAGCCACUACCAUGCUUAUGCAAGAA
rnacentral:lncRNA from 1 species